UACGAGGGGGGCUAAUGUUGUUCGGAAUCACUGGGCGUAAAGGGCGCGUAGGCGGGUGUUUAAGUUAGGUGUUUAAUCCCAGGGCCCAACCCUGGUCAGGCACCUAAAACUGGACAUCUUGAAUAGUGGAGAGGACGAUGGAAUUGGGGGUGUAGCGGUGGAAUGCGUAGAGAUCCCCAAGAACACCAGUUGCGAAGGCGGUCGUCUGGACACAUAUUGACGCUGAGGCUCGAAAGCAUGGGGAGCAAACAGG
rnacentral:rRNA from 1 species